rnacentral:tRNA from 1 species
AAAAAUUUAGUUAAAUAAUAACAUUAACUUGUCAAGUUAAAGUAAAUACUAUAUAUUAAUUUUU